GGUAUGCAAAUUCACAUUUAUUUCUGAUAGAACUUAAGAAUUCUCUCGUUUAUAGUGCAUGCAUUGAUUCAAGAAAAUGGUUCAUUCCACUUGAGAAGUCCAAGUUAAAGCCACUAUUACUUAUCUACCUACCUUAGCACCUUGAUUAGGAACGGUAAUCUCUACUGGGUUACAUUUACUGUUUGUUUAAUCGCAGCCAACACCCGGAGCCCAGUAUCUCUUUAUACCGAAACAAUUUCGCGCCAACCUCAACUGAUACUACUAUAUUUAAAAACAUCUCCUUUCGCUUCUUCACAUCGGUCGGGAUUUUCAGACAUCACAGGGAUUGUUACCUUUGUGCCUGUUUCGCAGUUGCGUUGGUUCGUUACCACAACUUAUCGA